rnacentral:rRNA from 1 species
GUGGGGAAUAUUGGACAAUGGGCGAAAGCCUGAUCCAGCCAUGCCGCGUGUGUGAAGAAGGUCUUCGGAUUGUAAAGCACUUUAAGUUGGGAGGAAGGGCAGUAAGUUAAUACCUUGCUGUUUUGACGUUACCGACAGAAUAAGCACCGGCUAACUUCGUGCCAGCAGCCGCGGUAAUACGAAGGGUGCAAGCGUUAAUCGGAAUUACUGGGCGUAAAGCGCGCGUAGGUGGUUUUGUAAGUUGGAGGUGAAAUCCCCGGGCUCAACCUGGGAACUGCCUCAAAAACUACUGAGCUAGAGUACGGUAGAGGGUAGUGGAAUUUCCUGUGUAGCGGUGAAAUGCGUAGAUAUAGGAAGGAACACCAGUGGCGAAGGCGACUACCUGGACUGAUACUGACACUGAGGUGCGAAAGCGUGGGGAGCAAACAGGAUUAGAUACCUCUGUAGUCC